GACAGGGGCUCGAGCGUUAAUCGGAAUCACUGGGCUUAAAGGGUGCGUAGGCGGUCCUGUAAGUGUCUCGUGAAAGCCCCCGGCUCAACCGGGGAACCGCGGGGCAUACUGCAGGACUGAGGAAGCUAGGAGGCGGGUGGAACGAUCGGUGGAGCGGUGGAAUGCGUAGAUAUCGAUCGGAACGCCAAGGUGAAGACAGCCCGCUGGGGCUUUCCUGACGCUGAGGCACGAAAGCGUGGGUAGCAACAGGG
rnacentral:rRNA from 1 species